CAAGCCGGGCGCGAUUCGCCCUUUUCCGGUUGAUCCUGCCGGACCCUACUGCUAUCGGGAUGAGACUAAAACAUGCUAGUUGUGCGCACCCUAGCCAUGUUGGGAGCGCAGCGAACGGCUCCGUAACACGUAGUCAAUCUAACCUUAGGACGGAGAUAACCCCCGGGAAACUGGGGUUAAUAUUCGAUAGGCGGAAAAGUCUGGAAUGGCUUUCCACUUAAAGGGUUUUAGGAACAUGCUCCUAAAAUUGCCUAAGGAUGAGACUGCGGCCGAUCAGGUUGUUGGUGGGGUAACGGCCUACCAAGCCUAUAACCGGUACGGGCCCUGAGAGGGGGAGCCCGGAGAUGGGAACUGAGACAAGGUCCCAGACCCUACGGGGUGCAGCAGUUGCGAAAACUCUACAAUGCACGAAAGUGUGAUAGGGUUAUCCCGAGUGCCGUCCGAUGAGGAUGGCUUUUCCUUGGUGUAAGGAGCCAGGGGAAUAAAGGGGGGGCAAGACUGGUGUCAGCCGCCGCGGUAAUACCAGCCCCCUGAGUGGUAGGGAUGAUUAUUUGGCCUAAAGCGUCCGUAGCCGGCUUAGUAAGUCCUUCGUUAAAUCUGGCGACUCAAUCGUUAGGCGUGCGAAGGAUACUGCUAGGCUAGAGGUCGGG
rnacentral:rRNA from 1 species